CAACACCAGAGGAUGGUGGGUAUCAAAACUUUCCAGGAUGUCAGCUGAGAAGGUGAGGGCAGAAGAAGUGUGGGUUUAAAGGACAAGCUGUAGCAGAUGCUUCUGUCAAUCAUCGUCUCCCUAGGGUCAAAGGUGAUGGGAGACGCUGGGCUGUAGAGGGUCAGCAGGUGGUUCAGCUGGGCUGGACUCAGAGCCGGGUGCAGGGACCGCAGGGACUUCCAGGGAGUCUACAGUCAGAAACACCCGGGUCAUGAUGAAGCGGUUUCUCCCUGUCCUGCUGCAUGGGCCCAGUCCAGGAUCAGGUCCAGUCCAGCCCGCAUCCGUACCCCUCGGGACCACUGGUAGAAACCUGGUUCUGAUCCUGGGGCACAUGGAAAUACAACAGCGCUGAAAUGGUAUAUAUAUCAUGUAUAGUUAGCAGUAGCUCUUACCUAUAGUUAGCAUUAUGAUAAUGACAACAAUAACAUUAUAAUGAUUAUUAUAAUAAUUAUUUUUAUUCAUUCAGGGCAGCGGAAGC